rnacentral:rRNA from 1 species
AGAAGUUACUAAGGGCGUAUGGGGGAUGCCUAGGCUCUCAGAGGCGAAGAAGGACGUGUCAAGCUGCGAUAAGCGACGGGGAGCGGCACAAACGCGAUAAUCCGUUGAUUUCCGAAUGGGGGAACCCUUCCGGUCGAAGGCCGGAAGCCGUAAGGCGCAAACCCGGGGAACUGAAACAUCUAAGUACCCGGAGGAGAAGAAAACAAGAGUGAUUUCCUAAGUAGUGGCGAGCGAACGGGAAGAAGCCCAAACCAACCUUGUUACGGCAAGUUUGGGGUUGAAGGACUACAAGACAAAUUUAUGUGGAAGCCAAAUGAUUUGGGAAAAUCAGCCAUAGCGGGUGAAAGCCCCUUCGGCGUAAGACAUAAAGGCGGAGUAGCAUCCUGAGUAGGCGGGGGCCGGAGGAACCCCCGUUGAAACAGCCGGCACCAUCCGGUAAGGCUAAAUACUCCUGAGAGACCGAUAGCGAAUAGUACCGUGAGGGAAAGGUGAAAAGUACUCCGCAUAGGAGGGUGAAAUAGAACCUGAAACCAUACGCUUACAAGCGGUCGGAGCGGCUGCGUGCCGUGACGGCGUGCCUUUUGCAUAAUGAGCCUACGAGUUGUCCUCACUGGCAAGGUUAAGUAGUUGAGCUACGGAGCCGGAGCGAAAGCGAGUCUGAAAAGGGCGUUUUAGUCAGUGGGGGCAGACGCGAAACUUGGUGAUCUACCCUUGGCCAGGUUGAAGGGCGGGUAAAACCGUCUGGAGGACCGAACCAGUAAACGUUGAAAAGUUUUUGGAUGAGCUGAGGGUAGGGGUGAAAGGCCAAUCAAACUGAGAAAUAGCUCGUACUCCCCGAAAUGCUUUUAGGAGCAGCCUUGUGGAGAGUUUGACGGAGGUAGAGCUACCGAUAGGACUAGGGGGCUUCACCGCCUACCAAAUCCUGACGAACUCCGAAUGCCGUUAAAUAUACACAGGAGUGAGGGCUUGGGUGCUAAGGUCCGAGUCCGAGAGGGAAAGAACCCAGACCAUCGGCUAAGGUCCCUAAUUUUUGACUAAGUUGAACAAAGGCGGUCAGGCUGCUGAGACAGCCAGGAGGUUAGCUUGGAAGCAGCUAUUCCUUUAAAGAGUGCGUAACAGCUCACUGGUCGAGCGGCCGGGCAUCAAUAAUAAACGGGCAUAAGUCAAGAACCGAAGCUGUGGUAGAGCAAUCUAGGUAGGGGAGCAUUCCAAAUUCGGAGAAGAUGAGUUGUAAGACUUGUUGGAGGUUUUGGAAAAGCAAAUGUAGGCAUAAGUAACGACAAUGUAGGCGAGAAACCUACACACCGAAAAGCCAAGGUUUCCCGGGCAACGUUAAUCGUCCCGGGGUUAGUCGGGGGCUAAGGGGUAGCCGAAGGGCGAACCUGAUGCAAAGCCGGUCAACAUUCCGGCACCUGCUCACAAGAAAAGUGACGGGAAGAGGCGCUGUCUAGGUGCUGACGAAAUAGCACCUUGAGCCUAGCCUACUUGGCGAAGCGAAGGCGGUUAAUCAUCUCCAAGAAAAGCGAGUGAAGCAGCCCGUACCGUAAACCGACACAGGUGGCUGGGGUGAGAAUCCUAAGGUGCUCGAGUGAGGCACGGCCAAGGAACUCGGCAAAAUAGUCCUGUAACUUCGGGAGAAGGGACGCCUACCCCGCGAGGGGAGGCCGCAGAGAAAUGGCCCAGGCGACUGUUUAGCAAAAACACAGGGCUUUGCGAAGUCGCAAGACGCAGUAUAAGGCCUGACACCUGCCCGGUGCUGGAAGGUUAAGAGGGGAUGUUAGUCGCAAGGCGAAGCAUUGAAUUGAAGCCCCAGUAAACGGCGGCCGUAACUAUAACGGUCCUAAGGUAGCGAAAUUCCUUGUCGGGUAAGUUCCGACCUGCACGAAUGGUGUAACGAUCUGGGCACUGUCUCGGCCGUGCGCUCGGUGAAAUUGUAGUAGCGGUGAAGAUGCCGCUUACCCGCCACGGGACGGAAAGACCCCGUGCACCUUUACUACAACUUCGCAUUGGCUUUGGGUAAUGAAUGUGUAGGAUAGGCGGGAGGCAGAGAGCCGGUGUCGCUAGGCAUCGGGGAGCCGUCCUUGAAAUACCGCCCUUUUGUUGCCUGGAGCCUAACCCUGGUGGGGACAUUGCGUGGUGGGUAGUUUGACUGGGGUGGUCGCCUCCAAAAGCGUAACGGAGGCUUCCAAAGGUUCGCUCAGUACGCUUGGUAACCGUACGCAGAGUGCAAUAGCAAAAGCGAGCUUGACUGUGAGGCCGACCAGCCGAUCAGGUAGGAAACUAGGGUAUAGUGAUCCGGUGGUUCCGCAUGGGUGGGCCAUCGCUCAAAGGAUAAAAGGUACGCCGGGGAUAACAGGCUGAUCUCCCCCGAGAGCUCACAUCGACGGGGAGGUUUGGCACCUCGAUGUCGGCUCGUCACAUCCUGGAGCUGGAGAAGGUUCCAAGGGUUGGGCUGUUCGCCCAUUAAAGUGGCACGCGAGCUGGGUUCAGAACGUCGCGAGACAGUUCGGUCCCUAUCUGUGGUGGGCGCAGGAGGUUUGAGGGGGGCUGACCUUAGUACGAGAGGACCGGGUUGGACGAACCGCUGGUGUAUCAGUUGUGCCGUCAGGUGCAUUGCUGAGUAGCUAAGUUCGGAAGAGAUAAGCGCUGAAAGCAUCUAAGCGCGAAACUCGCCCCAAGAUGAGACCUCCCUGAGGGUCGUUCUAGACUAGGACGUGGAUAGGGUGCAGGUGUAAAGUCAGAGAUGGCAAAGCUGAGCACUACUAAUUACCCGAUAGACUUCUAG